GAUGAACGCUGGCGGCGUGCCUAAUACAUGCAAGUCGAGCGAACGGACGAGAAGCUUGCUUCUCUGAUGUUAGCGGCGGACGGGUGAGUAACACGUGGAUAACCUACCUAUAAGACUGGGAUAACUUCGGGAAACCGGAGCUAAUACCGGAUAAUAUUUUGAACCGCAUGGUUCAAAAGUGAAAGACGGUCUUGCUGUCACUUAUAGAUGGAUCCGCGCUGCAUUAGCUAGUUGGUAAGGUAACGGCUUACCAAGGCAACGAUGCAUAGCCGACCUGAGAGGAUGAUCGGCCACACUGGAACUGAGACACGGUCCAGACUCCUACGGGAGGCAGCAGUAGGGAAUCUUCCGCAAUGGGCGCAAGCCUGACGGAGCAACGCCGCGUGAGUGAUGAAGGUCUUCGGAUCGUAAAGCUCUGUUAUUAGGGAAGAACAUAUGUAUAAGUAACUGUGCACAUCUUGACGGUACCUAAUCAGAAAGCCACGGCUAACUACGUG
rnacentral:rRNA from 1 species